UACGUAGGGUCCGAGCGUUGUCCGGAAUUACUGGGCGUAAAGAGCUCGUAGGUGGUUUGUCGCGUUGUUCGUGAAAACUCACAGCUCAACUGUGGGCGUGCGGGCGAUACGGGCAGACUUGGGUACUGCAGGGGAGACUGGAAUUCCUGGUGUAGCGGUGGAAUGCGCAGAUAUCAGGAGGAACACCGGUGGCGAAGGCGGGUCUCUGGGACGGUACUGACGCUGAGACGCGAAAGCGUGGGGAGCGAACAGG
rnacentral:rRNA from 1 species